GGAGAGGUAGCUCAGCAGGUAGAGCAACGAAAAAAAUGGAGUCUUGUAGGAGACUCUUACAGCAAUGAUUUUAAGCUUGGUAAGCCGUUUGUCGUAGGUUCAAAUCCUACCCUCUCCU
rnacentral:tRNA from 1 species